UACAGAGGGUGCGAGCGUUGUCCGGAAUCACUGGGCGUAAAGGGCGCGUAGGUGGCGACCCAAGUCGAUGGUGAAAGCUCGCCGCUUAACGGCGAGUCGGCCACCGAUACUGGGUUGCUUGAGCACUGUAGAGGCUAAUGGAAUUCCGGGUGUAGCGGUGGAAUGCGUAGAGAUCCGGAAGAACACCGGUGGCGAAGGCGGUUAGCUGGGCAGUUGCUGACACUGAGGCGCGACAGCGUGGGGAGCAAACAGG
rnacentral:rRNA from 1 species